rnacentral:misc_RNA from 1 species
GUAAAUUGCUCCAAGAAAUACAUUUAUAUUAUUUAUCUCUGUAGCCAAAGGUAUAGAAAAUACAUACUAUAGGAUGGUAUAAUCGGAGUUUACGUUUAACAAUUGUUCUGUUGGCGUUAAGAUUUUAUGCUACUGGAUGUCACUUGCUUUCAGCAGCGGACUUUAGUGGCAUAAGCAAGACGAGCGCGCACAGAAUUGUGCAUCGUGUUACUGCUGCCAUUGCCCGCCUUCGACCACGUUUCAUACGAUUCCCUUUACUGGCAAAUGAAAUCAGAAAUGCACAGAUCCGAUUUUUCGAUAUUGCACGAUUUCCAAGAGUUCUCGGGUGCAUGGACUGUACACAUGUGAAAAUCCAAUCAUACGGCGGGGCUGCUGCAGAAUAUUUCUGAAAUCGCAAGGGUUAUUUUUCAAUCAAUGUGCAAGCGAUCUGUAACGCCAAUUUGGAAUUCAUUGAUAUAGUGGGACGGUGGCAAGGAUCAGUACAUGACAGUACAAUAUUCAAUAAUUCCAGGAUUCGUGCCUUGUUUGAAGCUAACACAUUUGGAGCUGCAAUUUUACUCGGUGAUGGCAGGUAUCCGGUUCGCUCCUAUUUAAUGACACUCUGCCAGUGAUUGUUGCAACUGCUGUUUUGCAUAACAUCGCUCGACGAGCUGGUGAUCCAUUACCACCGGACGAUCCAGCAGUAAACAUGCCUGCGCCAUGGGACGAACUAGUGUUACAAGGAGACAUGCCUGCUGUUAAUCACGCACAUGUAAUUAAUCCUGUGCAAAACAUAUUAAUUAACAAGUAAUUUCGCAG